AAGGAGAAAAGAAAGUGUCAUAAUUCAUGAAAGAUGGAGGGAAGACAAGGGAAUCGAGAGUCGGCGCCCUGUGUUGACGCCGACCGACCAAUCACCUCGUCCUUUUCUUCUCCACUGUCUUUUUAUUUACUCUCUCUCUUUCUUCAUAAAUCCACCUAUAUAAAAUCCUAACAUCUCUCUUAUCUUAUCUUCUAAAUUUUUCUCUCUUUUUUAUUUAGUUUUUUUAAUUCACAUCUUUCUUUAUCUUUACUUCUUCCCUUUUUUUGGUUAAUCGGAAGAUGCUAAUGUUUUAAUCUCGUUAAUUCUUUUCGUCUGUUUUACAUUUUGCAUUUUUUAAUAUCUUGAUUAAAAUAAUGGUGAGAGGUGCUGCUGAUCAAUCUGUAGUCGAUGAUGGUGUUGAUAAAGAGAGGAAGAAGAAGAAUCGUCGAUCCAACCGCCGAUCUAAUCGCAACGCUUCUGUUUCAGUUUCUGGUUCAGCUUCUACUUCGAUAAGUGAAAUACAUGGGGAAGCUAUGCAGACCUUGAGGAAUGGUAACAAAACGAGUUUUGUGAGUCACUCGUCGUCGAGGCAGCAGGGCCUAGACUUGCAUCCAUCCAAUAAUCAAGAAUCAACCAAAGCAUCUGAUGUUACUUUUUGUUCAAUGCCAACAAUGCAUAUAAAUGAACCUGAUUCAGUGGAGACAAGCAGCAUGCAUCAUCUGUUGCCUGCUGAUCUUGUUGGAGAAGUAGUUUCAGAGUCAUGUCCCACAAUGACUGCCCAUGACGGUUGGGAAUAUAUAAAUGAGGAGGUUUAUGCUCAGAGUCCGAUUUUUCUUCCACAUUUGUCCAGGGAAGCAGUUAAUGAGGCAUUAGAGAAAGGAUAUGCUUUAAGAGCAUUGUUUCAUGUAAAUGCCCACAAUCAACUUGAGGCCUAUUGCAAGAUUGAUGGAGUACAGACAGAUGUUCUUAUUAGUGGGAUUGCUGCACAGAAUAGAGCUGUGGAAGGAGAUGUUGUGCUGAUUAAGGUUGAUCCUUUGUCACUAUGGACCAAGAUGAAAGGUCUGGGUAACAAUUUGGCCCUGGCAGAAUAUAGUAACUUCCUUUCUGAAGCAAAUGAAAAACGUGGUGAUACCUACAAAGGAAAAAAUAAAGUAGAAUUGGGUUAUGAUCGUGUCAAUUCAAAUUGUACAAUGCUUGCUGAGGAGUUCCAUAAUGAGGAUGUUUUUGCACCUGGAGAAACUUCUUAUCUAGAGAGCAUUGAACCAGCGUGCUAUAAUUAUGUUAACGGAUAUCAUCUCGCUACUUCAGAUUCUACAUAUGUUGGUUUCUCUGAUCAGCAGUAUGCAGUUGAGAGUUUGUCUGCCAUUAUUAGUUUAAAUCCAUUAAAGCGACCAACUGGCAGGGUUUUAGCCAUCAUCAAAAGCUCUCCUCGUCGAGAUUGUAUUGUUGGAUAUCUUAAUGUUAACCAAUGGUUUAAUUACAGGGACAGGUAUGAAAAAAAUAUGAAAAAGAAGUGUUUGAGGAUUUCUGAACAUGAUUAUAUCCAAUUAACUCCCACUGAUCCUAGAUUUCCAGAAAUGAUGGUCCUUGUGAAAGACUUACCUGACUGCAUCAAUAAAAGAUUAGAAGAGGGUGAUGCUACUCUUGAAAUGGAGCUGGUGGCUGCACAAAUCCUUUGUUGGGGUGAAGAAAGUCCUUUUCCCCAAGCCCGUGUCUCGUGUGUUUUUGGACAAGGUGGUGAAGUGGAGCCACAUGUUAAUGCAAUUUUAUAUGAAAAUGCAGUUUGUUGUUCUGAAUUUUCUCAAGAAUCCCUCUCAUGCCUUCCUUCUGUUCCUUGGGAGGUGCCAACUGAGGAAUUUAAAAGUAGGAAAGAUCUCAGAAAUCUGUGCAUAUUUACAAUUGAUCCAUCAACUGCCACUGAUCUUGAUGAUGCUCUAUCAAUUGAAAGGUUAUCUGAUGGCAUUUUUAGAGUAGGUGUCCAUGUCGCUGAUGUGUCUUAUUUCGUUUUACCUGACACAGCCUUAGACAUGGAAGCGCAGUUACGAUCAACUAGUGUGUAUAUGUUUCAAUAUAAAAUUCCAAUGUUGCCCCUCUUGCUCACAGAGAAUCUAGGUUCACUAAACCCUGGAGUAGAUAGACUUGCAUUUUCUAUUUUCUGGGACUUAAACAGUUCUGGGAAUGUCGUAGAUCGUUGGAUUGGUUACACUAUUAUAAGAUCCUGUUGCAAGCUUUCAUAUGAAAAUGCUCAGGAUAUUAUCGAUGGUAAAAUUGAUGCGGAAAGUUUUAAUACAUCAGGAAAUGGCCUCCCACAGUUGUAUGGCAAUUUUGAAUGGGCCAAUGUUAUUAGAUCUAUUAGAAGUCUUCAUGAAGUUUCAAAAACUCUGAAAGAGAAGAGGUUUAGUGAAGGGGCUUUGCAGCUGGAAAGUUCCAAACCUGAAUUCUUACUUGAUGAAGAUGGAACUCCAUAUGAUACCAUGCUUUCGGAAAGGAAAGAAUCAAAUUUUCUUGUUGAGGAGUUUAUGCUUUUGGCAAAUAGGACAGCUGCUGAAGUUAUCUGUAGAGCCUUUCCAGAGAGUGCAUUAUUGCGGAGGCACCCUGCACCUAAUAUACGGAAGCUCAAAGAGUUUGAAGCAUUUUGUCAGAAGCAUGGUUUAGAAUUGGACACUUCUUCCUCAGGACAAUUUCAUCAGUCACUGGAACGAGUCCGGGUAAAGCUCAAGGAUGAUUCUGUGCUGUUUAAUAUUAUUAUGAAUUAUGCUGCAAGACCAAUGCAAUUGGCAUCUUAUUUCUGUAGUGGUGAUUUCAAAGAUAAUGUGGACUGGAGCCAUUAUGGACUGGGUGUUCCACUGUAUACACAUUUCACUUCACCACUGCGCCGUUAUCCUGAUAUUGUUGUACACCGUACAUUGGCUGCAGCUUUAGAAGCUGAGGAGUUAUUGUGGGACUAUAAAAGAAAGUUGCUGAAAGAAAAGCAAAGUGAUGAAAUAAAAGGAAGAUUUUUAUCUGGUAUUUAUUAUGAGAAAGAUGCUCUAGAAUCAAUGGAAGGCAGGGAAGCAUUGUCAGCUGCUGCAUUAAGGCAUGGGGUUCCUUGCACAAAUGUACUUGCUGAUGUUGCUGCUCAUUGCAACGACCGAAAGUUGGCCAGUAGAAAUGUUAAGGAUGCUUGUGAAAAACUCUACAUGUGGGUUUUGUUGAGGAAAAAAGAGGUUUUAUUGUCUGAAGCAAAAGUUUUGGGUCUAGGGCCGAGAUUUAUGUCCAUUUAUAUUCACAAAUUAGCUAUUGAACGUCGGAUAUAUUAUGAUGAAGUUGAAGGCUUGAAAGUAGAAUGGCUUGAGGCUACAUCUACGUUGGUGCUUAAUUUGGGUACCUACAAACGAUCAUGUAGGAGAGGUGGUCUUGCUAAUUACCGGCUCCUUGAAGAUGUUGCAUUGGUUACAAGACCUUACGACCAAAAAGAGGAGCAGAGUAUGUCUGGAGGCAGUGCUAAUGAGUGCAUUGCAACCAAUGUUGGUGUGGCUGGUUCGAGUUGUCCAUGUUUGGAUCCCACUUCAAAAUGUGGAUUUGAUCCUGGGGUUUUCCCCAUGACCGUGCAUCUCCUUUCAACAAUUCCUGUGGCACUUCAUGCUGUUGGUGGGGAUGAUGGACCCCUCGACAUUGGAGUGCGGCUCUACAUGAGCACUUAUUUGGGGUAAAUUUUGUUUUGGAAGUGAAAAUAAAAAUCAAAUAAUGGAAGCCUUCUUGAGGAGAAGAAAUCAAGCCUCAGUUGUAGAUAAGAUUGUGUAUAAUUAUAUCUGAGUUUUAGGAUGAAAGGAAAUCUGUGGUGUCACCUGCCAAUCCUACGUGAAUCUGUCUCAUGCAAGAACAUCAACUGGUGGGAGGAGUACUUAAUAAUGGUCGGGCUGUCAUUGACUUGACUUUUAGUGGCUGUUUUUGACAGAAGCUGCUUGCUGGAAUACGCCUUCGUUUUUUUGUUGGGGCCAGUUUCAGUAUAGUAUAUGCCCGUAUCCAGUGCCUAGAUUUCAUGCAGAAAAACUCAAACAGAAGAUUUUCGUUGCUCUGGCAAAAACAAGUGGGAUCCAUGACAGUCCUCUAGCUGUCAUAUUGUGACAAAGUGAGGAUCUGGGUUCCUCAAGCGGAUGCCUAUGUCUUGUAGGUCUUGGUGGAUCUUCUUCAUGCAUUCCUUCCAUUCAAUUCUCUUCUAUUAUUUUUGCCUCAUCAACCAGACCCUCCUGCCCAUAAUUUUCUUUUUCAUCUUCAAACUCGUCACCAUGCCAAUCGGCCAUUUGCAGUGCACUUUCUGGAGUUGCUUGGCCACCCUCCUGCCCAUCAUUUUCUUUUUCAUCUUCAAACUUGUCACCAUGUGAAUCGGCCAUUUGCAGUGCACUUUCUGGAGUUGCUUAGCCACCCUUUUUUUGCAAGAGAAACGGUUUUCAUAGAGUCAAACUUGUCUAGUGGCUUCAGUUUGGUAAAGGCGUUACAUAGACUCAAAAUUUCUUAGGCGUCCAUACGAAUUUUUUAAUUUAAAAAGAAAAUUAAGCAAUUUUUCUCGUUGGUUAGCUUAUUAACAGAUACUAUAUUGCAGUGAAAAUUGGGUAAGUUUUGAACCAUUUAUUUCGAAAUUUCCAAUCAAUUUCACUUACGCCCCUUCACCGUUGAUUCUCACUAGCCAGAAGUGCUAGCAAUUGGUUUACUUGUUCUUGUCCCAUUUGAUGUUGUUGGCCCGUUGGUGUUCCUCUUGAGUGCUCUCUCUUUCGGCUGCUGCGUUUGAUUUUCCUCUUCCCGUCUUGUUUUCUGAUUGCACCUUGAAGGCUGCGGAUUCAUUUUUCAAUGCUUGGGUGAUUUUUUCUGCCAAUAACCUGGAAAGCACUCGGUGAAGUUGAGUACUAGAAGAUGUUCAUCAGCAGGAGAUUAUCUAAAAUUGAGGUUAAUGAUUUAGAAGAAGAUCUCAUUUGUAAUGAAUGUCAUCCAUGCACUUGGCCUUCGGAUUCGAAAUAUGGUUAGAGAGGAGAUACUUCUGCUGCAUUGCAAUUCUGUCUCUAUGGCAUCAUUAUGAUUACUCAAUGAUUUUGUCACCUCCGCAUAGAUCUAUAUCCGAACAAAACUCGCUCUACUAUAUGAAUGAAGCUCUAAUUGACUUCAUGUUGUAAGCUUGAUAUAUAGGCUCUUCAUGGUAUGCA